rnacentral:lncRNA from 1 species
UUUGAUUUUUCUUUUAUUUUUCACCCUCUCCCUUUUUUUUUAUUGCAUUUGCAAUGCCCCAGCUUGACUGUUUUGCUGAUUCUCAGGAUACAGCUGAAUGAGCUUCCUUUCGUGCUCAAGAAGACGGGUAAUCUCAUCAGGAAUCCCCUUCAACAUCAUCUUCCUCUGCUUCAAAUACAAGGAAUUCAAGAUUGGGAGAUAGCG